rnacentral:rRNA from 1 species
UACAGAGGUCUCAAGCGUUGUUCGGAUUCAUUGGGCGUAAAGGGUGCGUAGGUGGCGGGGUAAGUCAGGUGUGAAAUCUCGAGGCUCAACCUCGAAACUGCACUUGAUACUGCCUUGCUAGAGUACUGGAGAGGAGAUUGGAAUUUACGGUGUAGCAGUGAAAUGCGUAGAUAUCGUAAGGAAGACCAGUGGCGAAGGCGAAUCUCUGGACAGUUACUGACACUGAGGCACGAAGGCCAGGGGGAGCAAAACAGG